rfam:Drosophila persimilis strain MSH-3 cont1.005339, whole genome shotgun sequence.
CCUUCGAUAGCUCAGUUGGUAGAGCGGUGGACUGUAGAUGGUGUUGCGGUGCUUGUGCAACUUGGAAGCGGAGAUAUCCAUAGGUCGCUGGUUCAAAUCCGGCUCGAAGGA